rnacentral:ncRNA from 1 species
ACCUGAAUAUCCGUUAUGGAAAAUUCAUCAUUAAAAUUGUAAUAUUUAAAUAAUAUUAUUAAGAAUAAUGUGCAUUUUUUCCAUAUAAGGACAUUGUAAUCUAUUAGCAUAUCCCAAAUUUAUCAUAAAAUAUAACUUAUAGUUUAUUCCAAUUAAAUUGCUUGCAUUUUAACACAGAAUAAAUGUUAUUAAUUUGAUAAAGUGCUGAUAGAUUUAUAUUAUUACAGAGCGUUAAUUUUUCGGAAUUAUAUAAUGGCAUAAUUAUCAUUGAUUUUUGUGUUUAUUAUAUGCUCUUGUAUGAUUAACAAUGCGAAAGAUUCAGGAUACCUUCGGGACCCGUCUUGAAACACGGACCAAGGAGUCUAACAUAUGUGCAAGUUAUUGGGAUGUAAACCUAAUAGCGUAAUUAACUUGACUAAUAAUGGGAUUAGUUUUUUAGCUAUUUAUAGCUAAUUAACACAAUCCCGGGGCGUUCUAUAUAGUUAUGUAUAAUGUAUAUUUAUAUUAUUUAUGCCUCUAACUGGAACGUACCUUGAGCAUAUAUGCUGUGACCCGAAAGAUGGUGAACUAUACUUGAUCAGGUUGAAGUCAGGGGAAACCCUGAUGGAAGACCGAAACAGUUCUGACGUGCAAAUCGAUUGUCAGAAUUGAGUAUAGGGGCGAAAGACCAAUCGAACCAUCUAGUAGCUGGUUCCUUCCGAAGUUUCCCUCAGGAUAGCUGGUGCAUUUUAAUAUUAUAUAAAUAAUCUUAUCUGGUAAAGCGAAUGAUUAGAGGCCUUAGGGUCGAAACGAUCUUAACCUAUUCUCAAACUUUAAAUGGGUAAGAACCUUAACUUUCUUGAUAUGAAGUUCAAAGAUUAUGAUAUAAUGUGCCCAGUGGGCCACUUUUGGUAAGCAGAACUGGCGCUGUGGGAUGAACCAAACGUAAUGUUACGGUGCCCAAAUUAACAACUCAUGCAGAUACCAUGAAAGGCGUUGGUUGCUUAAAACAGCAGGACGGUGAUCAUGGAAGUCGAAAUCCGCUAAGGAGUGUGUAACAACUCACCUGCCGAAGCAACUAGCCCUUAAAAUGGAUGGCGCUUAAGUUGUAUACCUAUACAUUACCGCUAAAGUAGAUGAUUUAUAUUACUUGUGAUAUAAAUUUUGAAACUUUAGUGAGUAGGAAGGUACAAUGGUAUGCGUAGAAGUGUUUGGCGUAAGCCUGCAUGGAGCUGCCAUUGGUACAGAUCUUGGUGGUAGUAGCAAAUAAUCGAAUGAGACCUUGGAGGACUGAAGUGGAGAAGGGUUUCGUGUGAACAGUGGUUGAUCACGAGUUAGUCGGUCCUAAGUUCAAGGCGAAAGCCGAAAAUUUUCAAGUAAAACAAAAAUGCCUAACUAUAUAAACAAAGCGAAUAUAAUACACUUGAAUAAUUUUGAACGAAAGGGAAUACGGUUCCAAUUCCGUAACCUGUUGAGUAUCCGUUUGUUAUUAAAUAUGGGCCUCGUGCUCAUCCUGAACAACAGGAACGACCAUAAAGAAGCCGUCGAGAGAUAUCGGAAGAGUUU